CAUGCAAGUCGAACGCUUCUUUUUCCACCGGAGCUUGCUCCACCGGAAAAAGAGGAGUGGCGAACGGGUGAGUAACACGUGGGUAACCUGCCCAUCAGAAGGGGAUAACACUUGGAAACAGGUGCUAAUACCGUAUAACAAUCGAAACCGCAUGGUUUUGAUUUGAAAGGCGCUUUCGGGUGUCGCUGAUGGAUGGACCCGCGGUGCAUUAGCUAGUUGGUGAGGUAACGGCUCACCAAGGCCACGAUGCAUAGCCGACCUGAGAGGGUGAUCGGCCACAUUGGGACUGAGACACGGCCCAAACUCCUACGGGAGGCAGCAGUAGGGAAUCUUCGGCAAUGGACGAAAGUCUGACCGAGCAACGCCGCGUGAGUGAAGAAGGUUUUCGGAUCGUAAAACUCUGUUGUUAGAGAAGAACAAGGAUGAGAGUAACUGUUCAUCCCUUGACGGUAUCUAACCAGAAAGCCACGGCUAACUACGUGCCAGCAGCCGCGGUAAUACGUAGGUGGCAAGCGUUGUCCGGAUUUAUUGGGCGUAAAGCGAGCGCAGGCGGUUUCUUAAGUCUGAUGUGAAAGCCCCCGGCUCAACCGGGGAGGGUCAUUGGAAACUGGGAGACUUGAGUGCAGAAGAGGAGAGUGGAAUUCCAUGUGUAGCGGUGAAAUGCGUAGAUAUAUGGAGGAACACCAGUGGCGAAGGCGGCUCUCUGGUCUGUAACUGACGCUGAGGCU
rnacentral:rRNA from 1 species